CCAUUCGGGCGCCGCCGCCUCGGCGCUCACCGACGUCUCGCCCUGAAGGUGGCGUUAAAGACAGGAGAAGGGAGAUCAGCGCGGAGUCGGGGCCGGAGCCGCGGCGCCGUGGGCCCCGGAGGGACUUACCUCCUGCCCCAGGAAAGACACCCGCACAUAGGGCUCCACCAGGACGCGCUGGUCGUGCAGGGCGCGGACCAGGCUGCCCAGCAGCCCCAGGCGCAGCGCGGGAAGCCCCUCGGCGCGGUACAGGCGCACGCGGAGCCGCGCCCAUGGCCUCUCGGCGGGCACCCCGCGCGGCAGGAGCAGGUUCCUAGGGGAGGGGGCACCGAGCGGGGGGGGAGAAACUGGGAUCUCGGCCCCUCCCCUUAUCCGCGCCCCACGGCCACCCCCGGAUCCAUGUCCUCCUCCCCACCUCACCCCGGCUCACUUCUCGAUGUCCGAACAGUGCCCUGGGGCCGGGGGUAGCAUUGGAGGGGGCAGGUCCCCGCGCGCCCUCACGGACAAGGUGACCUUAAUGAAACCCUUGGUCCCGGCGCGGGUGUCUCGGGGAUCAUGCAGCGGAACCCAUCUUUGGUAGAACUGGCCAUCUAAGGGCGAAGGGGCGAGCCAGGGGUAAGGGGCGACCGGCGGGACGCACAGGGUGGCCGUGAGGCUAUCGGAGUGACGGACAAUGGCCAGGGCUUCUCUGGCUCAGCAGGGAGGGGCGGAAGUGCCAAGAGUUCAGCCUCCGCCAGAGAUGGCCCUCUCCGAAGUGAGUGUAUAGGGGUCCAUGCGGAGUCACUGCAGGGUCAAUCUCUAGGGCCCUUGUCCGUGCAGAGUCUCAAUAAGGGGACGAUUCCAUACCUGGCUGGUCCAAGAUGAUGCCCAGGUCCAUCCUGAAGGUGCCUAUCCGGGUGGCCAUAAAGGGGAGGGUCUGCGAAUGGAAAGCCUUGGGGGAAGGUGGUGUUAGUCCUGCAGCUUUCUCAUCCCCCCUUCUCUGAAGGACACUGGUCACCCCUACCCCACUCACCGUGAUCUCCAGCAGCAAGUCUUGGAGACGAAGCCGCGUGUCAUGAAAUUCGAACAAGAAGUACUGAAUUGAAGUGGGGAUGAGAGGUCAGAUGUGAAGGGCUCCUGCCAGCUUACCCAGGUCUCUUGCUCAGAAGACCCUCCUUCCCCCACCCCCAACCCUCUCACUGCAAGCUUUUCCUGGAUCAGCAACCCCCCAACCCCAACCCAUAGGCCCAGCAUCUGGCUCCAUUUCCACCUAGGCCUCACCCGCUCCGGGAAUAGUUCUCACAUCAACCCCUCCCAUUCUGUCAGGCUCGCCCUCUUCUGUGGUGGCACCCACCUCAUUGUAGAAGGGGCAACUGGUCCCACGCUGUGUGGCGGUCACACGGCGCUGCCCCCCCACUUGCACGGCCACAUAGGGGUUAAUGUUGACUCCCACCAGUUUCUGGGCUUCCAGCACAGUGACUCCCACCUGAGAGGUACAGAAGGAUGAGGAAAGGAAGCCAGACCUGCCUGGGUGGAGGGAAAGAACAUGCGUGCCAGAAGAGGUAGUACUUCCAAGGGUUAGGCCCUGGAAAAAGAGUAGUACCUGGAAGUCUUGAGCUCUGGACACCUGGAAGGGAUCCCCAUGGGCCAGGGCCCUGGCGCGGCUGGAGAGAAGCUUAAGGUCCUUCAGGUCAUGUCUUGCUGCCUCCAUCUCAACCCUGCACCCACAAUUUGACUCAUUCCUGGAGCCCGAAACCAUUCAUUCAUGCAACAGAGGUUUAUUGAGUACCUACUAUGAGCUAACACUGUCCCAAGCACUGGGACGCUGUAGUGAAGAGACAAAUCUUGCCCUCAUCAAGCUUUCAUCCCCUGCAUGUGUGUGAGCCACUGUAACUAUGUGUAUGAACAUGGCAGUGUCUAUGCCUAUGAGCAAGUGACUGGAGAAUCCACCCUUCCCACACCCCCUGGGACUGUGUGUUUGUGAGGGCAGAUGGGUGUGGGAGCAGGUGUGCCGUGGGUACAAGUUACCUCUUGAGGGGGCUGAACAUAACACCAGAAAGUUCCACGUCAGGCUCAUCAUCCAGGUCCUGCUCCAGCUCAAGCUCCAGCUCAUUCUCUUCAUCGUCCUGCUGGCCUAGACUUCGAGCUAGCCUGCGGCCUAGAGCCACUGCCCGCCGCUCCAGCUGGGCCUCCCCAGGCCUGAUAGGAAAGACCCUCAAGGGACAUGCCUGGAACCCAUCACCCAUCUCCAGGCAAUCCCUUGACUUCCUGGAGCCUUGGACUGACCCCUGACCCUUGAACUGAUCCCACUGAUCCUAGGACCAGUUAUUGACCUUGUGGCUGACUUCACUGAUCCCAGGACAGACUCUUAACCCUGGGACAUUUCUAAUUCCAGAACUGACCUCUGAUUCUAGGACUGACCUCUGACCCUGGAACUGAUUCAGUUCUGACCCAAGACCCUGGGGCUGCCCCCAUAUCACUGGCUCCUAACUCCAAGACUGACUCAGUGACUCCAGGUCAUCCCCACAUACUUACUCCAGUUCCUGGAAGCCCACAUUGGGGAUGAUUAACUCGAAGCUGGGGAAUAAUAAAUGAAAGGACUAAGA